UACAGAGGUCUCAAGCGUUGUUCGGAAUCACUGGGCGUAAAGGGUGUGUAGGCUGCGUGUUAAGUCAGAUGUGAAAUCCCGGGGCUCAACCUCGGAACUGCAUCCGAUACUGGCAUGCUAGAGAAUUGGAGAGGAGUCUAGAAUUCACGGUGUAGCAGUGAAAUGCGUAGAUAUCGUGAGGAAUACCAAGUGCGAAGGCAGGACUCUGGACAUUUUUCUGACGCUGAGACACGAAGGCCAGGGGAGCAAACGGG
rnacentral:rRNA from 1 species